rnacentral:lncRNA from 1 species
AAUUGCCACAUGAUGUGUCCUUUUCGUUGUCAUGAACUGAUUCUAGUAAUGCAGAGGAUUUUUCAGGUUUAUUUCUCCUACAUUUUCUUUUGUUUUUUCUUUCUAUGUCGCACUGUAGGACAGCAGCUAUGUUCUUGUACAAUUGUCAAUGUUCAGACUAACAUGGGAGAAGUAGGCUAGAAUGCUUGACUGCUUGAGCCUUUAAGUACUAUACUAAUAGUAGUAAUUUCUCAAAUUUACAGAUUGUUGUGCUUGAGAGGAUAUAAUGCAUUGUGAAAUUGGACCUGCUUGUUGAAGAAUACACAAGGUCUUAUAUGAUGGUCAUAUUUUUUGAUCAAUGUUGGAUCAAUUUUGGAUGACUUAGCUAGAUUUUAUUUUCAGCUGCUAUAUGCAUGCUUGUAUGUUGGCUUGAUGGCAAGCAUCUUAAGCUAGUGACAUGACUAUAUAUGUACACAUUUGAUAUGGAUGAAUGAGAAUAUUAUUGAUGUGCCAAUUUGUGUAUUGGUUCUGAAUGUGGUCUAGUUUUAAAUAUAUGUGAUGAGUACAUGUCGAUGGAUACGCUGUCCUAAUAGCGGAC